rnacentral:rRNA from 1 species
UACGUAGGGGUCGAGCGUUGUCCGGAGUUACUGGGCGUAAAGCGCGUGCAGGUGGCUCAUUACGCCCGGCGUGAAAGCCCCCGGCUCAACCGGGGAGGGUCGUCGGGGACGGGUGAGCUUGAGGGUAGCAGGGGCUGGUGGAAUUCUCGGUGUAGAGGUGAAAUUCGUAGAUAUCGAGAGGAACACCGGUGGCGAAGGCGGCCAACUGGACGAAUACUGACGCUGAGACUCGAAAGCGUGGGGAGCAAACAGG